AGGACUAACGCUGGCGGCGUGCCUAACACAUGCAAGUCGAACGAGGGGUAGCAAUACCCCUAGUGGCAGACGGGUGAGUAACACGUAGUCAACCUACCUCUUAAUGGGGGAUAACUAGCCGAAAGGUUAGCUAAUACCGCAUACGAUCGUCGAGUGGCAUCACACGACGAUGAAAGGAGCAAUCCGUUGAGAGAGGGGACUGCGUCCCAUUAGUUAGUUGGUGGGGUAAUGGCCUACCAAGACUCCGAUGGGUAGCUGGCUUGAGAGAGCGACCAGCCACACUGGAACUGAGACACGGUCCAGACUCCUACGGGAGGCAGCAGUGAGGAAUUUUCCGCAAUGGGGGAAACCCUGACGGAGCGACGCCGCGUGUGGGAAGAAGGCCUUCGGGUCGUAAACCGACUGUCGAGGGGGACGAUAUUGACGGUACCCCGUGGAGGAACGCCCCGGCUAACUACGUGCCAGCAGCCGC
rnacentral:rRNA from 1 species